rnacentral:tRNA from 1 species
GCGGGGUUAGCUCAGCUGGUAGAGCAUCAGCCUUCCAAGCUGGAUGUCGCGGGUUCGAAUCCCGUACCCCGCUCCA